rnacentral:lncRNA from 1 species
UCCUGUACCAUUUUGAUAUUUAUUAAUAAACUGAUAGGGAUCCACGCCAAACUCCCCAUCUAACAAGGUGGCUUUAUAUUUAAAUCCCUAGUUUUCAAUCUUUUUUUAAUUUAUUCAUGCAUAUUUUUUAAAAAAUUUUAAAAAACCUAAACAAGCCGUGUCUUGGCACGGUCGAAACAUACCGUGCCUUGGCACGGCCUAUUUCAAGGGGGUCGA